AUUGAACGCUGGCGGCAGGCCUAACACAUGCAAGUCGAACGAGUGGCGGACGGGUGAGUAAUGUAGGGGAAACUGCCUGAUGGAGGGGGAUAACUACUGGAAAAGGUAGAUAAUACCGCAUACCAUCGGAUGUGCCCAGAGGGGAUUAGCUAGUAGGGGGGGUAAAGGCUCACCUAGGCGACGCUCCCUAGCUGGUAUGAGAUGAUGACCAGCCACACGGGAACUGAGACACGGUCCCGACUCCUACGGUAGGCAGCGGUGGGGAAUAUUGCCCAUUGGGCGCAAGCCUGAUGCAGCCAUGCCGCGUGUAUGAAGAAGGCCUUCGGGUUGUAAAGUACUUUCAGCGGGGAUGCGUUACCCGCAGAAGAAGCACCGGCUAACUCCGUGCCAGCAGCCGCGGUAAUAC
rnacentral:rRNA from 1 species